rnacentral:lncRNA from 1 species
CGGCCGUAUCGGGGAUGCUGGAACCUGCGGUUGAGUGAGAAACCGGCGCCACCGCCUGCGUCUUGGUCUCGGGCUGGUGGCCAGCGGGGUCUGGGCGUGGUUUUACCCAGCUCCUUUGCGAAGCUGCUGUCCUUUCCUCAACGUUACCACCCGGCUGGGCAGCCUACCCUCGGUCAGUACGUCCUGGCAAGAGCGCUUCGGGCGUGGCGUUCGUGUCGCGGGGGCCUCGGCUCAGAAGCGAGGGAAGAGCAGCCCUCAGAGGAGCGGCGACCGCGCUUACCGGGAGCCCGGGUUGGGAGAGGGCUCCCCAGGAGGGGUGUGAGCUCCGAACGAGAAAGAACGCCACCGCCUCGUGGGGUCUCUUCCUAAUGUGCAGAUUCCAAAUCUCUACAAUGCUGCAAAAGAGCAGCAACAGGUGUGCACCUUCCAAGCUUGCAACAGACCACAUUCAGAAGCUUGAUUUCUUGUUGUUCUGGGAAUAUCUGGAUCAGAGAUUUCUCCAAGCCACUCUCCCCGUCAUCUCCUCCACCCCCAGGACCCAACUCCUGCCCCUCCCACCCUAGCCCCUGUUCUCCCUGCCCACCUCCUACCCCACUGGAGUGGCCUUUCAUCAAACCUAAACCAAAGAAACCAACAGACCUUGCUGUCACCACUACUCCGGGACCUGGAAGUUAAAGCGAGGGAGAGACGGUGAAACACAGAAAGCAGAACGCCUUCUGUUCUUCCACAACACAGGGUUUGUGGACGUGGCCACUAUAAGAACUCGCACUGCGUGCUGAUUAUACUCCUCAGCACAAUUCAUUUCUUAAACUUUUUAGAAUAAUUUAAAAUUUACAAAAAGUUGCAAAAAUAAAA